rnacentral:lncRNA from 1 species
GUAUUAAUAUGAAUUCAUGGUGGAUAAGGCUAUCAGUGGCUACUAGUCAUUAUGGCUAUGUACUACCUCUAGUAUUGGAGGUGGUAUACCUCUGAAUACCAGUUGGUGGGGAUCCAAUGUGGUUGGCCACUGUGAGAAAGGAUGCUGGAGUAGGGAGGUCAUUGUCCUGACCCAGCAGGGCUCUUCUUAUGUUCUUAAGACCCUAUGUUGGAGGUAACAGUGCUUCAGAAUACCAGUUUCUGGAAACCACAGGAGGGGAGAGUGCGCUUGAAUCCUGCUUGCAGGUUUUCCACAGGCAGUAUUCUUGGCUGCUUUGAAAACAGGAUGUUGGACUAGAUGGGCUGCAGCCCUUCUUCUGUUCUUACGGUUGUCUGGAAGAGACCAUGUAUGUGAAGUAAUGUGCAUUGCCAUCUAAAGUGGCAAUGCACCCAGGGUCUAAAAGUGCCAAAGUGCACCCCAUGGCACCUUACAGAAGUCUGUAUUAUAUUUUACUGUAUUAUACAAAUACGCAAGCCCAGGGCUUUCUUUCUUUUUUUUUUUUAGCAGGAGCUCACUGGACCUCAACUUUGGCACUUCUCAGGUCUUAGAAUUGGCACUCUAGGAGAACAAGGGAGAAGUUCGUGGUGAGCUCUGGCACCUCCUUUUCUAGAAAAAUAGGACUGCACAAGCCUAUAUUAUAAUAUUGUAUCACUUUUCAGCGCAGGAAAACAGCAGCACAUAAAUGCUUCUAAUAAACCCCAUAUAACAACUGCGUUUGGGGGGCUGGGUUUUUUGAAGAAGGAAAAAGCACCUUUUGGUGCGAAAUGGACAAUUUUUAGCUCCGUUUUAUCGUUUGCACAGGGAUGAGGGGGGAAAGCAUUGCUCGGGAUGGGGCGGCGUGGAGGCAUCCCCAAAGGUGCCAGCGUGAAAAUGCCGCUUAAUUUGAGCCAAAGGCGAAUCUCUCCGCGUCUCUACACUAAUUUGGGGUCGCAUCCCAAGAAUCCAGUAAGUGCAGAACGCGGCGGGCCGAUCCUUUGCCGCCUUUACUCGCCAUCUCCGUCCCUCGUCCGGCGCGGGCGAACAGCUCUCUCGGCUCCGAAGCCGAGCGCAAAGCCGCCUGGGUGGCCUCGGCCUGCCUUGUCGUUGCGAGGAGGCGGGGAAGGGCCUUCCGUUGAGCCAACCCCUUUUCUGUCGGAGGGUGGGGAAUCACGCGCGGCCCUUGCCUUUAAGGUUCAAUCGACAGAAAAGAAAGGGGGUGGUGGCCAAAGGCGCCGGCCGGCCGAGCCGAGGUGGUGGUGGUGGUGGUGGUGGUGGGGCGCUGCGCGCGCGCGCACCGAUUCCCGGGGUUGGAACCCGCCCCCCCGCCGCCGCGCAGCCGAAGAAGCAGGUGCAGCGAGGCGAGCGAGCUGGUGCGGCGCAAGGAGAAUGGCUUAGAAGGAGUGACUGGCACUGCUGCUCCCUGCAUCCCAGAAUCUACUGCCUGAGGUGACCUGUGCCUAAUGAUAGAGCCGGCCUUUAUAUCUUCCUAAACUCAGAUGUGAACUUUGAUAUAUGCCAGGCCUAACGCAGAUAUGUCUGGAAUUCUUAUGGCACAGUGGAGGAUGCCACAUUUGCUACCCCGAUCUAGCCUUUUAGCUGCGAAAGUGCCACAAUUUCAGCCCAGCGUUCUAAUACGAAAGCAGUAAAAUAAUGUACUUUCUCGCAAUGCCCCCCUUUUUAUUAAUACUUUAAGAACGUUCUAUUCUGAAGCCAUGACUGGAGGGCAGGAAGGUUUUGCCGCUUGAUGCUUUGAGACUUUAAUGGAGGACCACGCCAGUCCCGAGAAGACUAGAGGAAACAUUGGAUGCGGCCGAGAAAGCUUAAUAUGUCAGGGAGGAUUUGUUUGGUUAUAUGUUGCUCACUGCACUGUGCAAAGAGGACUGUGACGUACAGCUUCGUUUUUGCAGAAGGGAAGAGAGGCUAUUAAUCAGAUGGGUGUCGAGCCAAGAAGCACGCACUGAAUUUUUGAAAACAAUAUACUUAAAAAAAAAAGAAUAGAAAAGAAAUAAAAAUGGAUUGUUUUAUCUAAAAAUGUUGCAGGACUGGAAAAGACCCCCUUGCAGUCAUAGUAGACGAAGCCAGGCUUAUCUGGCAAAGGAUGAGGUGGCCUUUUUAUAGUCAGAAACUCGUUAACAAUCAAGGAGCCAGAGAUUAAUCCACAUGAUUUCCUUAUACAGUGGUACCUCAGGUUACAAACACUUCGGGUUACAAACGCUUCAGGUUACAAACUCCGCUAACCUAGAAGUAGUACCUCGGGUUACGAACUUUGCCCCAGGAUGAGAAUGGAAAUUGCGUGCCGGUGGCACGGCAGCAGUGGGAGGCCCCAUUAGUGAAAGUUUGCCUCAGGUUAAGAACGGUUUCGGGUUAAGAACGGACCUCUAGAACGAAAUUAAGUUUGUAACCCAAGGUACCACUGUAAUAGCAUUUCACCAACAGGAAGCCAGAGGAGACAACAUCCAAUUCCAGGAGUGCUUUAUUUAUUAUUAUUAUUAUUACAUAUUUUAUAUCACCUCCCCCCCCACAAGGAGCUCAAAGUGGUGCCCAUGGUUCUCCUUUCCCCACUUUAUCUUCACAACAGUCUUAGGGGGUGUCUGAGAGACUGUGAUUGGCCCAAGGUCACUCAGUGAGCUACCAUAUCUGAAGUUGCACAGUCUUCUGUAUGCCUCAAGUUUCUCUGAGAAAGGCAAAACAAAACAAGUUUCUUGUACAAAAUUCAUUCCCAAACCUACAUGUUAGUAGCUAGAAAUACAAACCUAAGUUGAAAAUGCUGACUUAACAUCUGAAGGAUUCAUAUUUUAAGUUUUGAUCAUUAAUAAUUAUUCCAUUUAUAUACCACCCUUCCUCGUAAAGGAUCCCAGUGCUGUGCACAAUGUAAACAAUAGUCCUGGAUAGCUCAGUCGGUAGAGCAUGAGACUCUUGAUCUCAGGGCCGUGGGUUCGAGUCCCACGUUGGGCAAAAGAUUCCUGCAUGGCAGGGGGUUGGACUAGAUGACCCUCGUGGUCCCUUCCAACUCUACAAUUCUACGAUCAGUUGUUAGAAUAUGUAAAAAUUUCAGUGCUAAAAACAAAUAUGGCAAAAUAAGCCUCCUAAUAUCAACAUAGGAAGCUACUUUGUUGUGAGUUAGACCCUUGGUUCAUCUCACCCAGUGGCAUUAAUGAUGGCUACCUGGCAGUGGCCCUCCAGGAAUUCAGCUUGGAGAUCUCUGCCAGCCUUACCUGGAGAUGCCUGAGGUUGGACCAGGAACCUUCUGAAUGCAAAGCAGGUGCUCUGCCGCUGAGCUAUAAGAAGAGAACAGUUGAAUUCCAGAGCCAAUGUCUGCCCCAAAUGCCUUGUGAGAAGCUUCCUGCGAAAAAAGAUUAAAAGGUUGCAUGCUUAAAUUUCAGAUUAAGCAGUAGGGGACCCAGGUGAGAAAAGAGGACAGGGCUCCUGAACUUUUAAGUCGUGUGUAGAUGAAGAAAUUUCAGUAGGGUGUAUUUGAAAGGUCCCAGGAGAUGAAGCAAUUACUAGAGGAUUGGGAUUUCCAAUUAUUCCUUGGCUCUUACUCCUGUGCGUAGGAUUGCCAGCUACUAGGGGAGAGGGGGAAACCUGCCGUGGCCUCCUUAUGCGCCUUUAAAAGUGGCUUGAGUUGCAGAGAACCAGCAAGAUAAGCGUGAGCACUUGCUACGUGCUGCAGAUCAAAUGGUUCUUAAAAGCCCAGCUACAGGUAAGUACAGCUACAUCAAGACCUGCCAACUGGUGGAAAUGUUUUGAAGGCAUCUCCAAGGGAGUCUAAAUUGGACUAGAACUGUGCACAGGGACAAAUCUCUUUCAUAGAAAGGUUUUAGGGAGGACGGUCAGAUCUUUGCUAAAUAGGAAGAUAAGUAAACUGGUAUGUUGUAACUGUUUGUUGUAAGGUUGCAUGAAGGAUACCCGUUGGAUUUGAUAGUGGAUGCUGGAGGAUGGGGCUAGGGGUAAGCCGUGAAAUGGCAAAGUCACCAAAUUAUUUAAGGUAGUAAAAAAGAAAAGGGGACAGCAAGAAUUAUGGCGCAUGGCUCAGUCGGUAGAGCAUGAGGCUCUUACUCUUGGGACUGUAGAUUUGAGCCCCAUGUUGGGCAAAAGAUUCCUGCAUUGCAGGGCAUUGGACUAGAUGACCCUUGUGGUCCCUUCCAACUUUACAGUUCUAAGGAAGCUCCCAAAGGCUUGUUCCAAACCAGAGGAAAGGAUGUUAAAAUGGCAGAUGUGAGUCAGUGUAAGCAAAUGUAAAGUGAUGCACACUGGGGCAAAAAAAAUUUAAAUCCGAACUUUGCAGAUAUGCUGAUGGGAUCUGAGCUGGCAGCAACUGACCAGGAAAGAGUUCUUUGGGUUGUGGUAGGCGGCUCAAGGAAAACAUUGGCCCUAUGUGUGGCUGCUGUGAAAAAAGCGAGCUCUUAUAUUGGAGAUCAUUAGGAAAAUAGUUGAAAAUAAAUCUGCCAAUGUCACGAUGCCCUUAUACAAAUCUGUGGUGCAACAGUGCUUGGAAUAUGUGACCAGUUCUCAUCACUGUACUUCGAGAAGAAUACUGCACAGCUUGAAAAAGGUGUAGAAAGGAGCUUCUAUGAGGAUAUCAUAGAACAGGGGUAGGCAACCUAAGGCCUGGGGGCUGGAUGCAGCCCAAUCGCCUUCUCAAUCUGGCCUGUGGAUGGUCCAGGAAUCAGCGUGUUUUUACAUGAGUAGAAUGUGUCCUUUUAUUUAAAAUGCAUCUCUGGGUUAUUUGUGGGGCACAGGAAUUCAUUCAUUAUUUUUUUCAAAAUAUAGUCUGGCCCACCACAUGGUCUGAGGGACGGUGCACCGGCCCAUGGCUGAAAAAGGUUGCUGGCCCCUGUCAUCUUAGAGCUGGAAGGUACACAAGGGUCAUCUUGUCCAACCCCUUGCAAUGCAAGAAUCUUGGCUAAAGCAUCCAUGACAGAUGGCCAUCCAACCUUUGCUUAAAAAACUGCAAAGAUGGAGAGUCCACCACCUCUCGUGGGAAUCUGUUCCACUGCCAAACAGCUCUUACUGUCUGAAAGGUUUUCCAAAUGUUUAGUCGGAAUCUCCUUUCUUGUAACUUGAAGCCAUUGGUUCAAGUCCUACCCCCCAGAUCAGCAGAAAACGAGCAUGUCCCCUCUUCCCUUAAGAUAUUUGAAGAUAGCUAUCAUAUCAUAGCUAUCCUAUCUCCUAUCAUAUGGAAGUGAGAGCUGGACCAUAAAGAAGGUUGAUCGCCGAAGAAUUGAUGCUUUUGAAUUAUGGUGCUGGAGAAGACUCUUGAGAGUCCCAUGGACUGCAAGAAUAUCAAACGCAUCCAUUCUUAAGGAAAUCAGCCCUGAGU